UAUAACUUUAAGUUUUAAGUCUAGGUUAGUAGUAGUUAUGUUCUUGAAAAUUAAAAAAUUUGGCGGUAUUUCAGUCAAUUCAGAGGAACCUGUCUUAUAAUUGAUGGUCCACGAUAAGAUUAACUUAUUUUUUUAGUUUGUAUAUCGUUGUUUAGAAUUUCUUUUUUGGGGUAAUUUUCAAGUGUUUACAAUUGAAUAAAUUUCAGAUCAAGGUGCAGCUUAUAAAUAAGAAUUGAUGGGUUACAAUAAAAUUAUAUUUGGUUGUUUAUUUUAAAUUUUUUUAAUAUAAAAAGGAUUUGAUUGUAAUUUGAAGAAUUUUCUUUUAAUGAUCAUUGUUCUGAAAUAUGU
rnacentral:rRNA from 1 species